rnacentral:rRNA from 1 species
GACGUAGGGCGCGAGCGUUGUCCGGAUUUAUUGGGCGUAAAGAGCUCGUAGGCGGUGUGUCACGUCGGCCGUGAAAACCUGCAGCUUAACUGUGGGCGUGCGGUCGAUACGGGCAUCACUGGAGUUCGGCAGGGGAGACUGGAAUUCCUGGUGUAGCGGUGAAAUGCGCAGAUAUCAGGAAGAACACCCGUGGCGAAGGCGGCUCUCUGGGACGGUACUGACGCUGAGACGCGAAAGCGUGGGGAGCGAACAGG